AACGAACGCUGGCGGCAUGCCUAACACAUGCAAGUCGAACGAGACCUUCGGGUCUAGUGGCGCACGGGUGCGUAACGCGUGGGAACCUGCCCUUAGGUUCGGAAUAACUCCCCGAAAGGGGUGCUAAUACCGGAUAAUGUCUUCGGACCAAAGAUUUAUCGCCUUUGGAUGGGCCCGCGUUGGAUUAGCUAGUUGGUAGGGUAAAAGCCUACCAAGGCGACGAUCCAUAGCUGGUCUGAGAGGAUGAUCAGACACACUGGGACUGAGACACGGCCCAAACUCCUACGGGAGGCAGCAGUGGGGAAUAUUGGACAAUGGGCGAAAGCCUGAUCCAGCAAUGCCGCGUGAGUUAUGAAGGCCUUAGAAUUGUAAAGCUCUAUUGCCCGAGAUGAUAAUGACAGUACCGGGAGAAUAAGCACCGGCUAACUCCGUG
rnacentral:rRNA from 1 species